UCUGUAGAUCUUUAAUUUAUUAGAAGUUCUUUAUUUUCUUGUUUAGUGUAAUCUUUUAGAGAGAUUUUUUUAAAAAUGAUUAAUUUGGUGCCAGCAGUUGCGGUUAAACUAAAAUUUUUAAAAUAAAUAUUAAGGUAAAUAAUUUAAAGAAAAAGAUGUUUUAUUAUAGGUGAAAUUUUUAUCUUGUACAGAUUUCUUAAUAUUUUAGAAAAAUAAGGUUGUGAAAUAGGAUUAGAUACCCUACUACACUUUUCUUUUGUUCCUUAGAGAAUUAAAUAUAAAAUCAGAAGAUUUGGCGGCUUAAAUAAUCAGAGGAACUUGUCUAUUUAAUUGAUAAACCCCAAUAAUUUUGCUUUAAAGUUAAUUUUGUAUACCAUCAUUUAAAUAAUUUUUAGAUAAUUAAUUAUUAAAAUUUCUUUAAAAAGCUUAGAUCAAGGUGCAGAUAUACUUUAAAUUAGAUUAGUUACAAUAAUAGUUUAUACUGUGUUAAAUUAAUGUUUAGUAAAGGGUGGAUUUGAAUGUAAUACACCUAUAUGUAUGAAGAUUAAAAUUUUAGUGCACAAAUUGCCCGUCACUCUCUUUGAGAUAAGUCGAAACAAAGUAGAAAUACCUGAAGGUGUUUCU
rnacentral:rRNA from 1 species